GAGUUGUCAAGGACCCAUUACAAGGUGUCAAUCACAUAACUUUAAAAACUUGGUUAUUUAAAGUGUUGAAAACAAUGAGGAUACAAACAUCUGUUUUGCUGUUUACGGGUACAGUAGCUGCAUGCGCAGAUAAAAACUUAUCGAGUCGACAUUUAUUGAUUAAACUCAAGUGAUAACUAGUUCUAUUUUACCAAAUUAUAUCACAAAAAAAUAAAGAGUGUUUUUUUAAUUUCAAUUUCAAUUUGGUGUUGCAAUACUUUUUUCCAUGUGUAUACAUAAUAAUGGAUGCUACAAUAUCUCCCACGUAAAUCCACAUGUAUGGGAAUAGAUUUGCAAACGCAAUGCCGAAUUUAUUGUUUUAAAAAUUACAAUUGAAAAAAGACUACAGAACUUUUUUUUUAUUCGGAUGCACAAAACAAAUAAAAUCCAUGCACAAAAUCUGCAAAAUCAAAAUAAAAUAAAAUUCCUCGAAAGUCCAGUAAUGCAUUUGGCACAUUUAGGUCAUUUCAAAACAUGACGUCAAACAAAUAAAAAUGCUUAAAAUUGAAGGUUUUUCUGUUACGUAAACCAUCGAAAUUUGUAUAAUAUUGCAUUAAAAUGAUUUUUGAGCUAGGUUUUGUUGUUUUAUUUGUUGAUAAUAAUGAUAAGGAUAGUUCAAGCACAAUAAUUAUGAUUUAACAUGUUAGAUAAAAUAAUUUCUCUAUUUCUUCGUCAAUUUAUCCCUUUCUGCACCUAUUGUGUAAAAAAAAUUAAUCAACGUGUGGUUCGUUUGAUCUCAGUUCUUCAUUGGUUAAAAUCCGAUUAUGACGUCGAAUUUUCUUGUUUUCCUCUGAAUUUCCUACUGUGACGGCAUGAAAAAAGGCGACCAUGCCUGAUGACGUCGCAUAGAAAGAACACAUCUUUUUUGCAGAUCAGUAGAAGAAGGAAUAUUGCCUGCGUAUGUUUGAAAUAUUAGAGAAACAGAUUCCACCACCAAAUCUCGUGUAAUACGAUAUUUAUCCACUCUCGACAGUUAAAUUUUAAAUACCUAAAACGCUCGGCGAGCCUCGCUUUUUAAAUUUGACAAUUUAACUGUUUCGAGUGGAUAAAUAUCGUAUUACACUCGAUGUAGUGGUAGAAUCUAUAUGUGAGUAUGUGUCCGCUACUGCCUAAUCAGGGUUACUAUUCGACCCGUUUCUCGCAAUUGACACAUUUAAGAAAACAUAAAUUGGUGAUACAAAUCUUUUUUGUGAAACAUAGAACUAAACAAAAUGGGACAUUUCCGUGUAAAACAACACUAUUUAUAUUUAUGAUGUAUAUAUAAAAUUGUAACUAUGACUGCAGAAAAAUUUAUCUUAAUGUCAAUGUGCAAGAUAUUCAUUUUUGUUGUCGAUAAAAUUGUUUCAUGAGAGGUGAUGACUUUCUUCUGUUUAAGUCUGUUGCGUAUAAAAGUAUCGAAAAGUAAUAUAGGAGAGAAGCGGUUAUCGUUUUAGCAUGUUUCCUUAAAUUUAUUCGGUAUUUUGUAUUAUUAUGUAUUGAUGCUUGUGUAACUGACCGACA
rnacentral:lncRNA from 1 species